UAAGGAAUAUUGGACAAUGGUCGCAAGACUGAUCCAGCCAUGCCGCGUGCAGGAAGACGGCCCUAUGGGUUGUAAACUGCUUUUGUACCAGAGAAAACCUAUCUACGUGUAGAUGGCUGAUAGUAUGGUAAGAAUAAGCAUCGGCUAACUUCGUGCCAGCAGCCGCGGUAAGACGAAGGAUGCAAGCGUUAUCCGGAGUCAUUGGGUUUAAAGGGUGCGUAGGCGGGCUUGUAAGUCAGUGGUGAAAUCUCUCAGCUUAACUGAGAAACUGCCAUUGACACUGCAGGCCUAGAGUAUAGAUGACGUUGGCGGAAUAUGACAUGUAGUGGUGAAAUACUUAGAUAUGUCAUAGAACACCGAUUGCGAAGGCAGCUAACGAAACUAUAACUGACGCUGAGGCACGAAAGUGCGGGGAUCAAACA
rnacentral:rRNA from 1 species